UACAGAGGUCCCGAGCGUUGUUCGGAUUCACUGGGCGUAAAGGGCGCGUAGGCGGAAAUGCCAGUCAGAUGUGAAAUCCCGGGGCUCAACCCCGGAACAGCAUUUGAAACUACAUUUCUAGAGGGUAGGCGGAGAAAACGGAAUUCCACAAGUAGCGGUGAAAUGCGUAGAUAUGUGGAAGAACACCAGUGGCGAAGGCGGUUUUCUAGCUUAUACCUGACGCUGAGGCGCGAAAGCAAGGGGAGCAAACAGG
rnacentral:rRNA from 1 species